rnacentral:rRNA from 1 species
GGGUUGUGAGGUUAAGCGACUAAGCGUACACGGUGGAUGCCCUGGCAGUCAGAGGCGAUGAAGGACGUGCUAAUCUGCGAUAAGCGUCGGUAAGGUGAUAUGAACCGUUAUAACCGGCGAUUUCCGAAUGGGGAAACCCAGUGUGUUUCGACACACUAUCAUUAACUGAAUCCAUAGGUUAAUGAGGCGAACCGGGGGAACUGAAACAUCUAAGUACCCCGAGGAAAAGAAAUCAACCGAGAUUCCCCCAGUAGCGGCGAGCGAACGGGGAGCAGCCCAGAGCCUGAAUCAGUGUGUGUGUUAGUGGAAGCGUCUGGAAAGGCGCGCGAUACAGGGUGACAGCCCCGUACACAAAAAUGCACAUGCUGUGAGCUCGAUGAGUAGGGCGGGACACGUGGUAUCCUGUCUGAAUAUGGGGGGACCAUCCUCCAAGGCUAAAUACUCCUGACUGACCGAUAGUGAACCAGUACCGUGAGGGAAAGGCGAAAAGAACCCCGGCGAGGGGAGUGAAAAAGAACCUGAAACCGUGUACGUACAAGCAGUGGGAGCCUCUUUUAUGGGGUGACUGCGUACCUUUUGUAUAAUGGGUCAGCGACUUAUAUUCUGUAGCAAGGUUAACCGAAUAGGGGAGCCGAAGGGAAACCGAGUCUUAACUGGGCGUUAAGUUGCAGGGUAUAGACCCGAAACCCGGUGAUCUAGCCAUGGGCAGGUUGAAGGUUGGGUAACACUAACUGGAGGACCGAACCGACUAAUGUUGAAAAAUUAGCGGAUGACUUGUGGCUGGGGGUGAAAGGCCAAUCAAACCGGGAGAUAGCUGGUUCUCCCCGAAAGCUAUUUAGGUAGCGCCUCGUGAAUUCAUCUCCGGGGGUAGAGCACUGUUUCGGCAAGGGGGUCAUCCCGACUUACCAACCCGAUGCAAACUGCGAAUACCGGAGAAUGUUAUCACGGGAGACACACGGCGGGUGCUAACGUCCGUCGUGAAGAGGGAAACAACCCAGACCGCCAGCUAAGGUCCCAAAGUCAUGGUUAAGUGGGAAACGAUGUGGGAAGGCCCAGACAGCCAGGAUGUUGGCUUAGAAGCAGCCAUCAUUUAAAGAAAGCGUAAUAGCUCACUGGUCGAGUCGGCCUGCGCGGAAGAUGUAACGGGGCUAAACCAUGCACCGAAGCUGCGGCAGCGACGCUUAUGCGUUGUUGGGUAGGGGAGCGUUCUGUAAGCCUGCGAAGGUGUGCUGUGAGGCAUGCUGGAGGUAUCAGAAGUGCGAAUGCUGACAUAAGUAACGAUAAAGCGGGUGAAAAGCCCGCUCGCCGGAAGACCAAGGGUUCCUGUCCAACGUUAAUCGGGGCAGGGUGAGUCGACCCCUAAGGCGAGGCCGAAAGGCGUAGUCGAUGGGAAACAGGUUAAUAUUCCUGUACUUGGUGUUACUGCGAAGGGGGGACGGAGAAGGCUAUGUUGGCCGGGCGACGGUUGUCCCGGUUUAAGCGUGUAGGCUGGUUUUCCAGGCAAAUCCGGAAAAUCAAGGCUGAGGCGUGAUGACGAGGCACUACGGUGCUGAAGCAACAAAUGCCCUGCUUCCAGGAAAAGCCUCUAAGCAUCAGGUAACAUCAAAUCGUACCCCAAACCGACACAGGUGGUCAGGUAGAGAAUACCAAGGCGCUUGAGAGAACUCGGGUGAAGGAACUAGGCAAAAUGGUGCCGUAACUUCGGGAGAAGGCACGCUGAUAUGUAGGUGAAGUCCCUCGCGGAUGGAGCUGAAAUCAGUCGAAGAUACCAGCUGGCUGCAACUGUUUAUUAAAAACACAGCACUGUGCAAACACGAAAGUGGACGUAUACGGUGUGACGCCUGCCCGGUGCCGGAAGGUUAAUUGAUGGGGUCAGCGCAAGCGAAGCUCUUGAUCGAAGCCCCGGUAAACGGCGGCCGUAACUAUAACGGUCCUAAGGUAGCGAAAUUCCUUGUCGGGUAAGUUCCGACCUGCACGAAUGGCGUAAUGAUGGCCAGGCUGUCUCCACCCGAGACUCAGUGAAAUUGAACUCGCUGUGAAGAUGCAGUGUACCCGCGGCAAGACGGAAAGACCCCGUGAACCUUUACUAUAGCUUGACACUGAACAUUGAGCCUUGAUGUGUAGGAUAGGUGGGAGGCUUUGAAGUGUGGACGCCAGUCUGCAUGGAGCCGACCUUGAAAUACCACCCUUUAAUGUUUGAUGUUCUAACGUUGACCCGUGAUCCGGGUUGCGGACAGUGUCUGGUGGGUAGUUUGACUGGGGCGGUCUCCUCCUAAAGAGUAACGGAGGAGCACGAAGGUUGGCUAAUCCUGGUCGGACAUCAGGAGGUUAGUGCAAUGGCAUAAGCCAGCUUGACUGCGAGCGUGACGGCGCGAGCAGGUGCGAAAGCAGGUCAUAGUGAUCCGGUGGUUCUGAAUGGAAGGGCCAUCGCUCAACGGAUAAAAGGUACUCCGGGGAUAACAGGCUGAUACCGCCCAAGAGUUCAUAUCGACGGCGGUGUUUGGCACCUCGAUGUCGGCUCAUCACAUCCUGGGGCUGAAGUAGGUCCCAAGGGUAUGGCUGUUCGCCAUUUAAAGUGGUACGCGAGCUGGGUUUAGAACGUCGUGAGACAGUUCGGUCCCUAUCUGCCGUGGGCGCUGGAGAACUGAGGGGGGCUGCUCCUAGUACGAGAGGACCGGAGUGGACGCAUCACUGGUGUUCGGGUUGUCAUGCCAAUGGCACUGCCCGGUAGCUAAAUGCGGAAGAGAUAAGUGCUGAAAGCAUCUAAGCACGAAACUUGCCCCGAGAUGAGUUCUCCCUGACUCCUUGAGAGUCCUGAAGGAACGUUGAAGACGACGACGUUGAUAGGCCGGGUGUGUAAGCGCAGCGAUGCGUUGAGCUAACCGGUACUAAUGAACCGUGAGGCUUAACCUUACAACGCCGAAG